GCAGUGCUUAACACCAAGCUGGGAUGUGAUCCUCAUUUCUAAUGUGCCCCUCACUAAGUCCUUUACAUGACGGACUGUGUGCAUAUAUAUAUGUAUAUAUAUGCUCCUUGCCUGGGGUUGCAGUGUUGGCCGUAGCUUCAUCAUGGGGUCUGAGGUAGAUGAAAAGACAGGAGAGAGCUUCCCCUAUCCACUAUCAAGUAACUAUUCAGUGCUUUCCAAACUCACCUGUUUUUUCAUGAAUGGGGCACAGCUGUGAGCAGCACAGGCUGCUGGGACAGUGAGUGGUGAAGAGCCUUGCUGGCCAGCUGAUUCUUGCAAGAGGUUCCUUUUAUUUGUGGUCAUUGGGAGUAAAACUGGAGUGAAUCUGGAUUGGAUGUCUGCGUUUCCUCCAGAAGCCCCACCAAGGAGGGAAGAGCUCAAGGGUCCUGCACCUCUCAGCUGGUGUCACUGCAUGCUGCAGGGAGUGGAUGUAGCUGUGGAAGGCAUGGGGACAACCACGACGAUGUGCGUCGGGCAGGGACCUGAGAAGUGUCUUACUGUGGCUUGAUUAAGUUAAUACAGAUUUGAAAUAGCAAGGGGAAACUGCAUUAAAAAUGUGGCUGGACUAUUUUAACCUUCUUCUUUUGGGACUUUUUUUUUUUUCAAUUUUUCCUGUUGUAUUUUCUCCCAGUUACCCAGGCACAAGUUCAGAUGUGAU
rnacentral:lncRNA from 1 species